rnacentral:lncRNA from 1 species
CUCCAUCUAGGAGAAGAUCCCGCGGGAUAUCAUCAAGACCCCCUUGUGGGAAGAUCCAUCUAGGAUAUCAUCAAGACCUCCUCUUGGAGAUGAACCUUACCUUGUAUCUUUCCCUUUGUUGUUCAUGUACCUUGUGAUCUUGUGUGUUUGAUUGUCUAGUGGAUGUGCGAUUUGGACUUGUUCUUGAGUGUUUCCCCUUGUGAUUUCUCUCCGUUCUUCCCCGUGUUCAUCGUGUUCUUCGAGGGAUCCCACUCCAAACGUGAAAGAUCGCCGCUAUAGGGUUCCACCCUACAUCAUAUGGUAUCAUGAGCCACGUUUAUCACGUAUUUGGAGUCCCUCCCACCGUUUUCUAGCCUUUUUUUGCUUGAUUUCGUCCUAAAUCCAAAAAUCCCCACCAAAAAUAGCCCCCAAAUUUUUUUGUGAUUUGUUGGUUUGAUGAUGUUUUUUUGAUUUUGAUCCAUGGAUUUGCUUGGUUUCAAGUGGAUCUAGCUUUCCCCCAAGUUUCCCCACCUUCCAUCCACGAAAUCCCUCAAAUUUUGCCCCGAAAAUCAUCCAUUUCCGCCCAAAAAUUCGCCCCCGAGAGCAAAUCCCGAGCGGAUUGACUUGCCCGGAUCAUCCGGACCUUCUCCCGGAUCAUCCGGACCAAGCCCGGAUCAGCUGGCCGCCCCCCCGGACGUCCGGAUACCCCACGCACCCAGAAAACAGAACCGGCGCUGACGAACCCGGAUCAUCCGGCUAUACACCCGGAUCAUCCGGACCGAGCCCGGAUCAUCCGGACCUCCUCCCGGAUGUCCGGUUAACCCUGACACUGACUCGGACAGAUUUUUGUUUUGGUCAUAACUAAUUCAUCCGAACUCCGAUUUUGACGUUCUUUAGCUCAUUUUGAAGCUCUUGACAUCCCCCAUCCCACAAAAAUACCACCAACAUCAUUUGACUCCAUCAUAUUUUCUGAAAUUUGGCAAGUUUGCCUAGGCCCUCCACCAUAUCAUCCGCAUUACCACCACCGACUUCCGCAACCUAACCCAUUUCGUUCCCCAUAGCAUUUGAGGUUGUUUGAGUAGUGACUUGAGUCUCCUAAGGUGUCUAGGCUACUUAGGGACGGUUGCUUCUUCAUCAACCACCACCACCACCACUUCCACAUAACCUUCCCACCAUACACUUCCGGCAACCAAACUUAACCCCAUUGUUGUUUGAUCUUGUUUGAGUUGUGGCUUGUGUCUCCUAAGGUGUUUCGGCUACUUAGGGAUGGCAACUUCAACUUCGACUCGUGUAUAGCCCAUCAUUCCACUUCCGCAUUGCCUAGUGCAACACCACCACCGCUUUCCGCUACCACCAUUUUGACAUUUGUCAUUUGAGAUUUUGAGUUUGCGGUUUUUCCGUUUCCUAAGGUGUUUCGGCUACUUAGGGACGAGUCUCCAUCAUCUUGGUAUCUACACCAAGAACACCGCCACUCAUCAUCGCAAAGGACAGUAACCUCGACGACACCUUUGUAUAUUCACCUUGCAAUUGCAUUGUUAACCCCUAGCCCAUUUUGCGUCACUUACCUAUCGAGACUAGCCAUUUGAGUAUUGCCGGCAACGUGACUUGUGCACAUUAGUGGUCUACACCAUCCAUUGCAUACAUACCAUAUCAUCUUGGUAUCUUAUCAUCCAUUGUGCCUCAAGUUUGUUCCCGCAUAUACACAAUUGCUAUCUUGGUUUGUGCAUUGUACAAAAGUGGCCAUAGAAAAAAAAAGAGAAAAAGCUUUUAAGCAAAAAGAGAGCAAAGAGCUCGUGAUCAAGUGCCAUAGCAUCAUACCCAUUGCACAUAAGAUUGCCAAAUCUACAUCAUAUGAUAUCAUGCUUGAGAGAAACACCGGGAACCAUACAUACAUAGCAUACUUGGGAUAGAAAGAAUAUCCAUUUUGCAUCUUAUAGGUUGUGCACAAGUGUCGUAUCCGCCUAUUGAGCAAUCGUGCUAGCGUCUCUCUUGAGUUGUGCAACACGAGCGUUUUGGUGGAUUCCACAUUUUGAGCUCAUUCCUUGGUUGCACGACCCCAUUUAUCUAUCCGUGUGUGUGUUUCCGUGUGCCAUUCUUUGCUAUUGGUCCAUUUGUCUCACUUGCGAAUUUGUGAAUCUUUUUCAACAUUAUUGACUCUUGCUAACAUUUUGCAUUAAAUUUUUGUGCCACUAUCCUCACCGAGCUCUACCAUAAGCCUUUACUUGAUAGCUGUGAGUGAACAAGUCCGGUACCAAUUCCACUAUUCUUUCAUCUCACAUUGAGUGAAAUGAGAUACAUCCUCAACAUUGGGAAAAGGUAACUUGGUAUUGUUUAUCUCAUUUCCUACUCACCUCUACUCGAGUCUUGUGAUGGAUAGGCAAGGCAUUUCAUCUUCGGUCUACAACAACAACGACGAGUUCGAUGCCAUGAACAACAACUACGACGCCAAGAUGGACAAGCGCAUGAAGGAGAUCAAGGCCCUCAUCAAGUCCUACAAGCGAUCUUCCUCAUCUUCGAGAAGACGCUCAAGAGCACAUGCUUCCGAGCUACCAUCUCCGGCAAGAUCACAUCGGCAUCGACACCAUCACCAACAAGAACGUGAAGGUCAAGAGCUCUACAUCAACAACCGCUCAACGACUUCACCAUCUCCCUUGGCAUCUUCGCCAAGCGACUUCAAGGCAUCUUCGCCUACGGACAUACGGCAUCUUCGCCAACAAGAACCCCAAGACUACGCUCAAGAGAAGCUCCCCAAGCUCAAGUCCGCGACUUCCACGAGCUACUACGACCUCGACAUCGACCACGCAAUUCCUUUCUAUGGGACUCAAGAACCCGAGGAGUACCUCGAGUGGGAGCGUUUGAUGGACGACUACCUCAAGCUACAUCAAGUUCCUCCCGAAGAUCAAGUGAAGUGCGCCACAAGAAACUUCCACGACUACGCAUUGGCAUGGUGGCUUCACACACCUUCGGAGAGCUAUGAGAUGAGUUGGCCCAAGACGAAGAGAGCUUUACGGCGAGAGUUUGUGCCUCCAACCUACACGGAACAACUUCGACGCCAAUUGGAGAACACCACCCAAGGAUCCAAGUCCAUCGACAAGUACUUCAAGGAGAUGAUGAUUGCCUUGCGACGAGCCGGCGUGGACGACCCCAUUUGGAUGAAGUUCCACUUCAUGAUGGGAUUGCACACCGACAUCUCCAAGACCAUCUUCCUCGAGAAUUACAAGUCCAUCGACGACUACUACAUUGGUGCUCUCAAGGCGGAACAAGAACUCAUGAAGGCCAAGGCUUCUCCACCCCAAGCACACUUCGCGGCGACCAAGCUCUACGACAAGCAUGAGGCUAGUACCACCACGAUGUCCAAGCCCGACGAGCUCCAAGACGAUGCUCCCAAGGACCAAGCUUUGGAGGCUAGCGACAAGGUGGCGAGCAAGGAUGAUGCUUCCAUCUUAGGAGGCGAGAGUGAUGAUGUGCCAUCUUCGGCCUUCAUCCAUGACGAGAGUGAUGAUGUGCCAUCUUCGGCCUUCAUCCACGGCGACCACGACGAGAUGGUUGAGCAUGGGAUCUUCCCUUCGACCACGGCGACGUAUGAUGACUUGAGUGACUUGUGCCACCAUAUUGAGAGUGAGAGUGACUUCACCACUAUCCCCAUACAUGAUGAGUUGCCACAAUUCCCAUGUGAGGAGAGCCACAACCCCCACCACUUGAGUGAGAUGAGUGACUCCACCAUACGUGAGUUUGAGUGCACCUAUUUUGAGGGAGUGAGUGAACCACCACAUAGAGAGAGUGAGAUAGUUGAUAGGUCUCGUGAGGCCAUUUGCAUUUCUAACAACUUGACCUCUACCUCUAUUGUGUCUUCUCGUUUGGUGCUAGGUCCCAUUUAUGAUGAUGCGCCGAUCCUCGACGACUUCAUCCUCCCUUUGGACAAGACGAUGGCCAUGGUGGAUUAUGAUGCACCGCCCACAUGGUUCCAUCAAGAUGAUGAUGAUGACCAGCCAUUUGGUCCUUCCCACCUCACCUACACCACUUGAGUGGAAUGACAAAGGUAACAUAGGUGAAGGUGAUGCUCUAGUCCCACUAGUGGACAUUCUUGACAUCGAUUUCUUGCAUGAUGUUGAUCCACCUAUUGCCAUGCUUCAUGCUAGUAUGAUUUCCCCAUGCGAUGAUUUGCCCAUUUAUGAUGAGAAUGAUGAUUCUCUUCUGGAGUCUAUUAGUUGUGAUGCCAUGUUACAUAGGAUUUCUUGUGACAAUUCUUUAGGUCACAUCAUGUUUGAUAAUCCGCUUGACUUGUCAUAUGCUAUGCAUGAGAUCAACCAUAUGUCUUAUUUGCAAUCUCUUCAUAGUGACUAUGCAUAUGCCAUUAAAAUAAACCCAAUUUGCACAUAUGGCAUAGAUGACAAGCCCAUGGUUAUUGGCAUUUGUUUUUCUUGUGAUGAUAUUGAUAUGCUCCCUUUGCAUCAUUUAUCUCAUAUGCCAUGCCAUGGCCACCUAGCUCCGGAUAUGCAUUGUUUUGGAUGUUGUCCAUUUUCUCCAUGUGAUGUUUCCGAUAUUGCUCAUGAGGAGACCCCCAUAGUUUCCUCAUGCAUUUUAGGAGAUUUUGAUCCAUCCCAUUCAUUGCAUGAUCCCGAUACUUGUGUGCACCAUAUGCUCCCCAUGAAUAAACAUGAUUUUGGUGUACCAUAUACUUGUUUGCUCAAUUUGUGUCCCCAUCGUGUCAUACAUAACAACUAUUCUUUCAUGAUGGAUGACAUGUUCCUAUACCAUGUGUCGGGGAUAUACCCCGCGGUAUAAACCGCCGGAUGUAUGACCCGGCUAGAGUUUGGCGAUUCACUGGCAACCCACUUGGACAUGGCGGUUCACGGUUCAUUGGUAAUCCGGCAGGCGGGUCAGAGGAGCGACAAGACCCGGUGGCCCAACGGGCGGUUUAUGGAAGGCCGGAUCAUGCUAUGGUGGGCCGGUUUAAGAGAAAAGGCGUGAGGAAUAUUUACUUUACAAGGAAGACCCGGACUUGUAUCCGGUUUGUAUUAGAGAUAGACUAGUCCUAAUCCUAAUAGGACUCCACAUGUAACCCGCCCCUUCAACAUAUAUAAGGAGGGGCAGGGCUCCCCAAAGAGGGACAAGCUAGAAGCUACAAGCAAGAAGAAACAAUCUUAGGGCUAGACACAAAGAGGAGAGCCGGUUUACGGCGACUCCCUCGUGAUGAUAAUGAGACCUAGCCUCAAACAGCAUGUAGGGUUUUUACCGGAUGAUGUUUCCCGGGGCCCGAAGCUGUCUAAAUCCCUGUCUUGUGUUGCGUCUCUCGAUUCCACUCAACCCCUCUCAAGCUACCACAUAGAUGCAUUGGCCUCGCGACUAAGUCCUGACACUAAGGACAUCUGACAUGACAAUUCCACGACAGUUGGCGCCCACCGUGGGGCCUGCACACGGUGGUAUUGAGUUCUUGGAGGGACCUAAUUCCAGGAUCGAGAAGCUCGCGAUUGAUGAGAUGAAAAAGAAUCACGCAGAAGAGCCGCCAAAUUUUUCGUUGGAAGAUCAGAAUUAUGGUUAAAGCUUUGGGAACCGGCGGAUACGAGAUUUGUAAAGAUGUUAGGGUUUGCGUGCGGCGCCUCACGCGUUGCACGGCGACCCAUUGAAUCCGAGCACAGAUCGUUUUGCCCGCUGCAGACGGACCGGACAAGAUGCCUACUCUUUUUCGCGUCCACAUCAGUACGGAUUGAUGUUUAACCCAGCCGCAGUGAUCCAAGGAAUAAACAAUUAUUGCAUGGCGGGGCUACCGAGGAUUGAUGAAAACAACUCCCGUUUGGGAAUCAAGAAAGCUUAAUACUAGUAUAUCAGUUACUACUACCAAUAGUACAUCAUGUACACCUGUACUCAAUCGAUCUAUCCAUCUGGAUUCAGCUUUGAGUCAUCGGAAGAUGGAAGGGAAAGAAGAAAGGACUCGGACGUGAGAUAGUCGACCACGCCCUAAACUCUAUAUUGCCGUUUGCGCAACUCCGCCUCCUCAUACGGGAUUCCAUAUGGCCUUGCUCCACUUCGCUGCCAUAUCUCGUUUCAUCGGGGCAUUUUUGCUGAGACGCCGAUCUCAAACUACGUCGAGCCACCGCUGCAACUGCGUCAGGCCGCCCCCGCGUUUUUCUUCAAUCCGCCAUCUUCCUGGCCUCGCCUCCGCCUCGCAGGGGGCCUCACCAAGCCGUCUACGCCCCAGGCUGCUGCUAAGCCGCCUGGCUGUUACAGCCUUAUUAAAACAACUAUGGCUUUGCCUCAAGCCGCCAUCACGCAGCCUUGUUCCGAGUCGUCGGCCGCUGACUUCACGUCCGAGCCGGUCGCCUCCGCCGCCGUUCCCUCUGUCGUCACACGCCUGAGUCGCCUUCGCCAUGCUGCCGUGGCCAAGCCGCCCGGCCGCCUCUGAAGCUGCUUGGCCUUGCUCCUCCUCGAGUCGCCGGCCGACCCUCUUCUGCCAGCAAGCCGCCCCGCCCUUCGCUUCGCCCCACUGUUGCACCACAUGCGCCCUCUGCCGGCUUGCACCACUGCGCGUCCCGUCUGUGCGAUUCAUGCCAAGCUUCUGUCGGUCUGCCGCUGUGGACUCCGUCUCCUCUGCCAAGAGCCGCCCAGCGCCAUGGUUUACUGAACAGCUGGUUUGAUGAGGGACCGCAUGGAGCAUUACUAUCAUCUGUCAUCAGACGUUACGGCUGACUCACCCGUCUGCACCGGCUUACCACGCUGCGGUCGGUUCGGCCGUGAUUGAUUUCAGCAUCACCAUAGUGAUCAUCAAACUCCGCGGCGGAUAAUUUCUGGCCUAAACGAAUCAGGUGCUAUCCAUCUAAGGUUUAUUUAUUAGCACGUAUUAUUUUGUCAAAGAAUAGUUACUUUGAUCUGUGUAUUUUUUAUAUACAGGACAAUCAUUCACUAUAAUGUGGGGAGCAUGGGCUGACAAUAUUCCGCCCGGCAAUAGUCCAUACCAUAUUACCCGAUGAAUGGGCGCGCACAAGCCGCCGCCCGUGCGGCCCGGUCUACAUCAACUAGUCGGGACUGCGCGUGUGAUCGACUCGCGCAUCCGCACCGGUUUAACAUCCGGUUCACGCGUCCGCGCCGACUUACAACGAGGAGGACAACUCGCCCAUCCACGCCGGAUUAUAACACCGCGGCCGACUCAGCUAUCUAUCUUUUUUGUCCGUCUCUCGCGGCCUGGUUUACAUCAACACACCGGGUCGCACCUGUCUGCAUGAGCUGCUUAUUGAAUAUAAAGCCAGUCACUGCUUGGGUAGCCCGGUUUUAUUUCAACAAAAGGGAGGCAAAUUAUCAUAUACUAUCAACCGCCGCCCGUACUGGAUGGCUCAAUGGGCAGGCGCACAAGUCGCCGCCACUACAGUUUGGCUAACUUCAAAUCACCAGUUGGAAGGAACCAUUGACCGAGUCGCUGAACACGGCUCAUACGGGAUCAUUUAUAACCCGCCGCAGUUACAUCAAUCCUCAGUGGAUUCACAUCGUGCUAUCAACACCAAUGAUAUACAAGUUAUGCCGGUUUAUAUCACGGUCGAACAUGGAGAAUCUCAAGCCAACUCCUCGAGUCACCUUUGAGACUUGGGGGCUACGAUGACAUAACUCAGCAAAUCUUGCCAGUUUCAGCAAAGUUAAAAACCCAGGACGAUGGAGGGAAAGAUAACCCGGUCCCGGAGGCUACUGUUAUGAAAAUUUAAAGGCUAUCGGAAAAUUUCCGUCUUAGAAAGUAUAUAACAGUUACAAAAUCCCGGCUCAGUGAAGAAGUUCCGGAUCAUCAGAAAGGAUUCCGGUUUCAAAUCCGGCUCAAGGGAAGUCAGUCUCACUGAAGCUCUCAAGUAUCCAGUUUACAAUCCGGUUCAAGGGAAAUAUAUUCUCCCACAAAGCUCUCAAACUCUCAAAUCCGGUUUAAAAAUGUCCGGUUCAAAAAGGAAUUAACUUCUCGCAAGUUCGAGUUGAAAGGCCAUCAGAAAAUUUCCGGCUGAAAAUGAAGAUUCCGGUUUACAAUCCGGUUCAAGGGAAAGAUGUCUCCCACAAAUCCUUGAAGCUCUCAAUAUCCGGUUCAAAAUCCCGGUUCAAGAAGGAUUUAUCUCUUGCAAAAAGUUAAAGGGUGCCAAAGAAGACUUGCUGCCAUGAUGCGCGGUCCAAACAUGGGUAUCAUGCCUUAUUGGCUUAUCAUAUUAUUGGUCACUUGGGGGCUUGGUCGUAUCCGAACCAUAGCCAUGCCUCUUGAUCGGCCUAGUGCCAUAACAUCACUGGGGGCCUUGGUCGUGUCCGAACCAACGCGACACCUUUUGAUAGGCGACAGCCACCAGAUCACUUGGGGACAUGGUCAAGUCUGAACCAGUCACGCCUCUUGGUCGGCCUAAGGCCACAAAAUCACUUGGGGGCUUGGUCGAACCCGAACCAUUGCCACGCCUCUUGAUCUGGCAUAUAUGCCACGAAUCAUUUGGGGACCUGGCUGACUUGAACCAUAGCUACACCUUAUUGGGAGCUUGGUCGUGUCCGACCAUGGUAACACCAUCUGAUCGGCUCAGUAAAGCCUCUUUUUGCAAAUGGUCUUAUCAUUGCCUUUGCUUCCAUAUUUUUUCAUAACUGUUAUUUGAUUUUUGUUGCAUUUUUUAAACCGACAACGUUUUAAUCCGGUUCAACUAUCAAUUACAAAUUGACGGAACACGGUCAAAUCUUAAUCCGGAGGCCAUCUGCCCGGUUUGAUUUUCUGUUACCAUCCUAUUAUGGAGUAAACCGGUGUUUAUCAACCCGGCUUGACUUUCAAUUACAAGUUGUCAAUACAGGAUCAAGUUAUAGUCCGGAGACUAUCAGCCCGGUCUGGUUUGACUACGAGUCGCCAGUAUUAUAUAUGGUUAAACCGGUGUUUAUCACAACCCGGUACGGUUUAUCAUCAACCGGCACAGUAUGAAAGGAGUUAUCAUUACUCAAGAUUGGGGUUAUCACUCUUACUACAAAAAAUUGGUAAACCAAUGAUGUGAUUCAAUAUCACAGGUAUGAUAUAUUUCAUUGAUUAUUCUUAAGAGCAGCCUUGGUUAUAAACCUGGGUUAUAUGUUGGGCAUUAUGACCCGUCCGGCGGUAAACCGCCAGAACACUUUAAACUUGUUGUAUGCAGAGACAGGUUGAAUAAAGCAUGAUGAUAAAUUAUCCGGUGUUUAUUAAACCGGCAUGGCUUUAAGACGAUAAGUCGCCAGUAUAUGAUGGGAAAUUAUCCGGAGUUUAUUAAACCGGCCUGGCUUUGGACUAUACGUCGCCAGUAUAUAUUUGGAUUGCGCCAUUGGAAUCAUGCGCUUAUAAAUGAUUGGGUUAUAUUAUUCAAAUAGCCAAAUUUGGCUGAAUUUUCAUUAUGAUAUUGGAUGAAUUUUUCAUACCGGAUUAUAUUAUCUUGAAUAGCCAACAUGGCUGGAUUUUUAUGGUUAUUAGUAACCGGUAUUAUUGAGUUUUCAAAGUCGCUUUAGCGCAACAGUUAUUAUUUUAUCAAAGGAUAUGAUUUAUUCUACAAUGGAAGGAAUAGUCCCGAGUCGCUGCAGGCUCACGACCCGGCACUUGGGGGCUACAUUAUUCAAAUUGAGAUUACAUGCAAGUCUCAUGUCGCUGCAAGCAUGCACCAUGACACUUGGGGGCUAAUGCAAAGUAUAUUAUUGAAGACCCGACUCAUCACAUUAUAAUGAGUCGGCCAUUGGGGGCUAUCAAUUGCUCCUGUCAACAGUUGAAGGUACAAAGCUUUUUAUUCAUUAUAUUGAAGGGUCCACUGCUCCGUUGGUAAAAACACAAGGCUCUUAACCUUGUGGACGUGGAUUCAAGUCCCAUGAUGGGGGUUACAUCAUAUGAUGUCAUUUUCAUUGAAGAAUAUAUUAAGUCCCAGCUCAAUAUUAUCUUACUGAGCCGGUCCUUGGGGGCUACACAUCAUUGCUCAGAUCUACAUGAUUAUACCUACAAAGUCCCUGCUCAUUAUUGCAUAAUGACCCGGCUCUUGGGGGCUACACUGGUUGAAGUUUUUAUGAGUAUAAGACAAUUGCAAGUCCCAGGUUGCUGUAAGCAUGAUAACCCGGCACUUGGGGGCUACAUAGUAUGGAGUAUUCAGUUUUUACUAGUUACUGGGAUGAACAACAUGGAUUUCUUCUUAAGUGGCAGUAUUUAUAUUGAAGCAAAGUCUUAAGCCAUCACUUUGUUCUGCUCAAGACUUGGGGGCUACAGGUAUUAUAUUAUUAUCGAAGAACUAUUUUCAAAUUCUCUGUUUUGAGCAAACUGGAUUAACCCGGCGUCACCAAUCAUUAUGACCCUGUGUCUGUAACCUGGCGUCAUCAAUAAUCAUGAACCAGCAUUAGCAACAAUCAUGAACUGGUGUUGGCAACAAUCAUGACCCGGAAUUAUCAGUUUUUAUAACCAGACAAUGGUGGUAAUCAUAAACCGGCAAGUUUUACAUCUUCAAGCCGGCUGGAUAUCAGUUGAAUAUUUCAGAGACUAAUAUUUUUGUCAAGUCAAAGCAUUGAAGGCCGAUUCAAAUGGAUUCUUUAUUUACAAAUAUCUUCUGCAAGCAAAUUGAUUAUGAAGAUGGUUAUUAACUUGGAAGGAAGAAAUGACAAGGAUUUAAGGAUGAUCAAGUGCCGGCUUACAAGUAUAUUUAAACCGGAGCACAACCCGACAAAUUUGUUCUUGUUGCAGAUCAGUUUAACAUGGAUGAAUCCAAAUUAAACUGGGGGCUAAUGUCGGGGAUAUACCCCGCGGUAUAAACCGCCGGAUGUAUGACCCGGCUAGAGUUUGGCGAUUCACUGGCAACCCACUUGGACAUGGCGGUUUACGGUUCAUUGGUAAUCCGGCAGGCGGGUCAGAGGAGCGACAAGACCCGGUGGCCCAACGGGCGGUUUAUGGAAGGCCGGAUCAUGCUAUGGUGGGCCGGUUUAAGAGAAAAGGCGUGAGGAAUAUUUACUUUACAAGGAAGACCCGGACUUGUAUCCGGUUUGUAUUAGAGAUAGACUAGUCCUAAUCCUAAUAGGACUCCACAUGUAACCCGCCCCUUCAACAUAUAUAAGGAGGGGCAGGGCUCCCCAAAGAGGGACAAGCUAGAAGCUACAAGCAAGAAAAAACAAUCUUAGGGCUAGACACAAAGAGGAGAGCCGGUUUACGGCGACUCCCUCGUGAUGAUAAUGAGACCUAGCCUCAAACAGCAUGUAGGGUUUUUACCGGAUGAUGUUUCCCGGGGCCCGAAGCUGUCUAAAUCCCUGUCUUGUGUUGCAUCUCUCGAUUCCACUCAACCCCUCUCAAGCUACCACAUAGAUGCGUUGGCCUCGCGACUAAGUCCUGACACUAAGGACAUCUGACGUGACAAUUCCACGACACCAUGCAUCAAAUUUCUUUGAGCGAUGCCUAUCUUGUGCUAACUCACACGUGCACAUACCCAUCAUGAUGGAUGAUGUGUACAUUUACCACACACACAAUUUCUUUGGAUUGUGUCUCUUUUGUGUAGGUACCCAUGAAUACUUGUCAACCUCGCAAUCCCACGAGUUGACAAAAUGAGCUCUUGAGAGCAAUGACGAUUUGGGAUCCCGUGGACUAUUCUUACCACCGUUCCCUUCGCGCAAGGACUACGCGCAACUCCUCUACUUGGCUCUCACACGGCUAUGGGCCAUUUACCACUUCUCACAUUAUGCUCAUUUUACCGUGUUCACUUUGCAUGCUAUGCUUGCUUCUAUGCCUUUGCCAUGCAAUUGUGACCCUUGUUUGCAUCUACCCAUGAUUCUCCAUUAUGAUAUGCCUAUGUGUAUUUGCAUGCUUGGUGGAGAUCCUUGUUGCUUUUGCCAUGUUUAUCAUGUGCCCCAUUCUAUUGAUGCUUGUUGUGUUGGGAGAGUCAUGAUGACCCAUUGCUAUUCACAUAUGGCCUCUCGCCAAUACAUUCAUGAUAUUGUACUCAUGUCUUGCUUUCAUGCUUGUGCUAUGACUUGUGAAUUAUUCAUGCCCACUAUUUGCACCAAUGACAUGUUUACCAUGAUUCCUCCUAGUAUGUUGCAUCUUCGCACUACUAGCUUGCUUGAUUUGAUAGCUAUGAAUGCUCGCUAUAUUGCAUCACCCAUGUUCCACUACUUGCUUUCUUCGGUUGAUGACAUAUAUGCGCAUGCCUCACACAUGUUGAACAAUUGCUCUUUCCUUUGUGUUGAGUGCCAAUAUAUCUUCACGACACCCUAUGCACGUUAUGCUUGGAUUGUCUUGCACUUGCCCCAUGUGUUUAGACAUUUCACUAUAUUUGGUGUUGUGAAUGACUCUUAUGCCUACCAUAGACCGUUCAUUAAGCUCUUUAUGCAUGCUUGCUAUGACCUUGAGGUAGAUGCUUGUUCACUUAUCACAUAUAUUUGCAUCUUGACCUCCCAUUUGCAUGCUUGUUCCCAUGAUAUACUUGAUUGUGCUCAAUUUAUAUGCUCAAAUGCCAUGCCACACUUCUUUGUCAAACCAUAUGCUAUGCUUGAUGACAACACUUGUUGGGUGAAUAACCUCUUGAAUGCUUGGUUUUGCACUUACGACAACCACAUUUGUUUUUCCAAGUGCUUGUUAUCUUUGCUACUUUUGAAGGAAUUACAAGACGGUGCGACAUUGGAGAGUGCCCAUUUGGAACUACAAGAUGACGAAUGCUUGGUGAUCGUCCACUUCUACACGAUGACAUCAUCUCUUUCCCAUGGUGAUUUGGAUUUCGAUCCGAGGUCGGAUCUUUCCCAAGGGGGAGGGGAUGAUGCGGAGCAUCCUACGGACAUCACCACGUCAAGAGCCCAUUUGGCAAGUGACACGUGCGACAUCUACUUCACAUACACAAAGGUGAAUCAUCUCCUUUGCACGUGCUCACUUGACACUCUCGAGGAUGGUAUACUACUUGACACUCCUUACGUGUGCAUGCAUAGGUAUUGUCAGAGCUUCACGGAUGUCAAGGAGGAGUGCAAGCGCCAAGGAACGACUACACCAUCCGCGAGGGAAGCGUGGAAGAGAAGACGGAAGAAAGGAAGAAGAAGAAUGGAGCAGGACUGGAGUUGCCCGGAUCAUCCGGACCCCCAGCCGGACGAUCCGGACCGAGCCCGGAUGAUCCGGACGACCUCCCGGACGAUCCGGCUACCGUGCCCGAAGACAACAGAACCUGCUCGACGAAGCCGGAUCAUCCGGACGGUCGCCCGGAUCAUCCGGACCCCCGACGCCCGGAUCAUCCGAGCCACCAUCCGGAUCAUCCGGACCCCGCCUGCGUGCGUGACUUGGGCCGAAGCCCGUGUACCCCUUCGCCCCUCACUUACCCCUUCGCCCCUUGGGCUAUAAAUAGACCUCCUCCACCUCCUUUCUAGGGGGAGCAAAGUGAUAGCUCAUUCUUAGGUGAGCUUUGCUCCUACCUAUCUCUACUCUUGAGAGAGAGAGACCACUACUCCAUUGGAGGCCAAGACCUCCAUCUAGGAGAAGAUCCCGCGGGAUAUUAUCAAGACCCCCUUGUGGGAAGAUCCAUCUAGGAUAUCAUCAAGACCUCCUCUUGGAGAUGAACCUUACCUUGUAUCUUUCCCUUUGUUGUUCAUAUACCUUGUGAUCUUGUGUGUUUGAUUGUCUAGUGGAUGUGUGAUUUGGACUUGUUCUUGAGUGUUUCCCCUUGUGAUUUCUCUCCGUUCUUCCCCAUGUUCAUCGUGUUCUUCGAGGGAUCCCACUCCAAACGUGAAAGAUCG